UGACGCAGACAACGUUUGAACGCUGCAGGACAGAUAUUUUAAAGAUAACAACGAGAACCUUUGUAUGUAUUGUAUAACAGCUUGAUAUAAAGGAAAAAAUGACGUCUGCCAUUCAGAAGAUGGUUUUCAACUUGCCCAGGAAAUUGACAACUUGUAAACUGUCAGUGUAAAUCCAAACGCACAUACAAGACAAAUAUCCACAACUGCAAGUGACAACAGUUACAGGCUAUACAAAAAUCAGUGCCAAUAACGAUCAUGGGGACUGAGCCAUUUGAAGUUGGAUGAAAGAGGAUCUGCAUCAUUGUGUUUAUGAUAAUGUGGAAAAGUACCAAUUGUUUUGAGAAUUGGUUCCACAGAUGUCAGUGAAAGAGACUUACGACUUAAUGUACAUGUUUUUGAACAGAACUAUUAAAAAGAAAAAUGGUGCAAAAUCAAUUGAAUCUGGUCACAAGAGAGAUGGAGACCUCGAGAGACAGAAAAAGAACAGACCAGGGAAUCACAGAUCCAUAUCAGAUAAUAAAAUUAAAUUGAAAAUUUAAAGUUUGAAUUUUAUGUUAUUGAAACUAUUAAUUUACAAACUUCCUGAAAAUUUGGAUUUUAUUUAUUAUUGAAUAGAGGCUAAGGGUAUUUGACCAUCAUCAAUGUGCUUACACAUUGAUUUUCAUUCAACUUUAAGAACUUCUUUUUAGGUUUUUAGGGGAAUAUCUGUUGUAUAAGUUACAAAGUUUUGUAUGGAUAUCCACAUUCUGAAUGUUUUCUGAAUAUAUUUCUGAAUCUGUCUGAAUCCAUCUGAAUGUUGUCUGGAUAUUUCUGAAUGUUAUCUGGAUAUUUUUGAAUGUGUCUGAUUAUUUCU